rnacentral:rRNA from 1 species
UACGUAGGGUGCAAGCGUUGUCCGGAAUUAUUGGGCGUAAAGAGCUCGUAGGCGGUCUGUCGCGUCGGGAGUGAAAACUCAGGGCUUAACCCUGAGCCUGCUUCCGAUACGGGCAGACUAGAGGUAUGCAGGGGAGAACGGAAUUCCUGGUGUAGCGGUGAAAUGCGCAGAUAUCAGGAGGAACACCGGUGGCGAAGGCGGUUCUCUGGGCAUUACCUGACGCUGAGGAGCGAAAGUGUGGGGAGCGAACAGG